ACCACCCUGCUGGUGAAUCAUGACUGGAAAGGUGCCGCUUAUCCUCGUCUCCCUCACUCUUUCAUUCCCCUCCCUGCGUCUCCCGCAGCGGUGACCUUUGACCUCACCUGACCCAGUGACCCCAGUCUGAGACGAGAAGCAGAAGCGGCAGCGCCAGCAGAGCCCGUCGGACACUUCGGAGGCAGCCGCUCGAGGAAAGAGGGAAUUCUCAGACAGAUAGUUGCGUGUAAACAGAUCGUGUGUGUUUUGACAUGAGGCCACUAACGGGACAGAUUAGACGCAAACAAUGUGGAUUCACAUCAAUCCUGGAACGGGAGUGAACUGACACUGCCUGUGUAAACUGGUUGCACAGUGGCAACGCUGACAAGCAAAGGUGCCUGCGACGCCGAUGUGCUCCUGAGCAAGCCACCGAAUGCCACCAGCUCCAGGGGUUAUUGCUCUAACUCACACCUAGGCUAACUUAGUGUCAGAGGACAGAAGUAGAAGCCUUGGCUCACGUGCACCAGGGCUGAACCUGCAGUGCUACGCCUCUGCACAGCAGGGGGCCUCUGCUGGCCCUCCAUAAACCGGCCGGGCCAGCGAGGGAACCAGCACACGUCUCCCGCAGGUGGGAGUAAUUAUUGUGUGGCUGCAGAGGGUGAACUGAGAUAGGGGGUUCUCCUCUCCUGCACAACCAGGUGGACACAAGACAGACUGCCCGUUACUUACUCUUCUACUCGAGAAUUUGUGCACGAAGCCGGAGCGAAAAACAAGCCAUCGGUGUUCCCUGCAGCUGGCAGCGACUCCAGCGGAUGUAAAUAUGAUAUCUGGGCAUCUGGCUGUGGCAGAUAGGAGCCUGAAUUGAGUCUGGAGGCCUUGAGAGGCCCAAUCAAUAGCUUUAAUCAAUUAAGAAUGCAGCGAGCGAGAAGCUGCAGAAAGGGGCCAAGUCUCACACUAAACAGGACCUCUUUCCCUUUUUUCACAUCGCUCCCGCAUCGAUCCGAGACGGCCACGGGGAGAAAAGAAAAUCGGAGGAAUUCAUUUCACGGAGGUCGCACCUUGGAGAUUCUGCACAGCAGCAGUUUUCCGAUGCGAGGGGGAUUUCACACGUAGGCGCGCGACGCCGUGGACCCCUUUUUUUUUUUUUUUUUUUUU